UAUGGCCACAUCAUGUUGAAACACCAGAUCCUGUAAGAUCACCAAAGUUAAGCAGCAUCAUGUCUGGUCACUACUUAGAUGAGUGACUGUUUGGGAAUAAUAGGUACUGUAA